rnacentral:tRNA from 1 species
GUUUUUAACUUUAUUUA